UCAAAUGCUCUUAGCUUCAAUA
rnacentral:siRNA from 1 species